rnacentral:rRNA from 1 species
UGAACGCUGGCGGCAGGCCUAACACAUGCAAGUCGAACGGUAGCACAGAGAGCUUGCUCUCGGGUGACGAGUGGCGGACGGGUGAGUAAUGUCUGGGAAACUGCCUGAUGGAGGGGGAUAACUACUGGAAACGGUAGCUAAUACCGCAUAACGUCGCAAGACCAAAGAGGGGGACCUUCGGGCCUCUUGCCAUCAGAUGUGCCCAGAUGGGAUUAGCUAGUAGGUGGGGUAACGGCUCACCUAGGCGACGAUCCCUAGCUGGUCUGAGAGGAUGACCAGCCACACUGGAACUGAGACACGGUCCAGACUCCUACGGGAGGCAGCAGUGGGGAAUAUUGCACAAUGGGCGCAAGCCUGAUGCAGCCAUGCCGCGUGUAUGAAGAAGGCCUUCGGGUUGUAAAGUACUUUCAGCGGGGAGGAAGGUGUUGUGGUUAAUAACCGCAGCAAUUGACGUUACCCGCAGAAGAAGCACCGGCUAACUCCGUGCCAGCAGCCGCGGUAAUACGGAGG